GCUUAGAGCCUUCUGCCUUUACAAGGCUGAACAGCGGCCUAACCCCAAAAGUUUCAUAGGUUUUUACAUAUUAUUUGUUUUAGCAAACUUUCUUGUUGAAUUAUCUAACGAAUAAUAUCAAUUUGGCACAGGUGGCUCCCGUAGAGAUAGAAGCUAUCCUAGUUGCUCAUCAUUCUGUUGAAGAUGCAGCUAAGUAUAUUAACUAAGUAAUUCAAUAUUUAUUACCUACUGCAGACUGUAUUCCUUUUGUCCCCCUUUUUUUUUUUUUAAUUUUUCUUUCUCCUCUAUUGAAUAAAUUAUACAUUUGGGUAAAGGUUACCAAUGUUAUUUAUGAGAGUUCAGGCUGCCAGAUGAAGAGGCUGGGCAGAUCCCAGCUGCUUGUGUUGUGAUAAACCAAGAAGCCAAAGAAAACGAAGAAGAUACCAUAAACUAUGUGGCCUCUAAUGUUGCCCGUUAUAAGAAAUUAAGAGUUGUGCACUUUGUGGAGAGCAUCCCAAAAUAACAUUCCGGAAAAAUAAUGAGAAGGCUUACUAAAAGAUGCAUGCAGACCGAUCCAAAGCCAAUGAUCAAGUCACUGGUUCUCAAAUGACACACUAAUCGUUGUAAACACCAUAUUUUGGUUGACCCUCAAAUGCGUAAUUUGUGUAAUUAAUAUACAAUUUUCUUCUAAAGUUGUAAUUUAGUUUCAAAUACUUUCUUGAAUGGAUCUUCCAUCUUAAUGUUAUCCGAUCUCAACUAAUUUCCUGACCACAGGUCAUUUUCUCUGAACUGGUAAUAAUCCAAGUUAUCUCCCAGAUAAAUAAAAAAUUAUUCGACCUCAUGCACGCUCAGGAGUCAAUUCUAU
rnacentral:misc_RNA from 1 species